UAUGACGUCAUACCGCAUGCUAUACAAACCCGCCGUAAUGGGGAAAGCAGUAAACAAGGUGGGAGAACUGAAACACGUGAAUAACGGCGUUUUGACGAUAUGUAUUAUCGAAAGGCAAUAGAGGGAGUUGUGAUUGAGGAAUUCAUGAAACGAAAGGGUUUAAAUGAUGCAUGGAAAUAUAAAUAAGACCAAAUGAAUCGUCGAGGAAACUCGGGAUAAUUUCUCGCCGAUAUUUUCCACAAUGACUUGGUAAUUGUAAACAAAGAAUACAUGGAUAAAAUAUCUUAGUACACAGCGAAUGAUCAUCAUACGAUGCAUUAAACGGAAAUUCACUUCUUGAUAUGGUGUAUAUGGACUUUUAUUGCAACAGGGAAUGUGUAUUGGGAUGUGAGAAAUAAAUUUCGUAACACAGCUCCCUCCCUUAAAAAGCAUUCGUCCUCGAAUGGAAUCAACCAUCUGAUCUCAAGUGAAUUUCUUACCUAACUUGAAAAAGAAUAUUCCAACUCCUGAAAGAUCCAUCCUCAGCUGUUCGUGAUGACAGACACUUCCUGAUGGUACUUCACAAAUACUUCAGUCCUGAUGCUGUGGGAGCUGAUGAUAAAUCGGGAGAACAAGAAUUUCUGAAGUCACUCCCCCCUUGAGAUGCAUCUUCACUUAUCCCAACUGAUCUUGGAUUGAGGAUUAUCUCACCGGAAUCUCCCAAUGGACUAUUCUCCCGGGACAUUUUUACACAAAAAUUUAUAGAAAAAUUACUACUAAAAAAAUGUUAUUUUGAGUUUAUAUUCUUUGUCCAAUCAGAUAUAUUGGGAAUAAAAAAAAAUGAUCCCACUUCUGAC
rnacentral:sRNA from 1 species